rnacentral:lncRNA from 1 species
CCUGAUUUGACUUUCAUUGUUAAUUUGUUCAUCUUUCAUGGAAGAUUCUUUGUCCAUAAAAGGAAGUGGGCAGAGAACAAACCCCUCUUCACAUUAUUUAAGAUAGAAUUUAAAUAUUAUUUUGAAAUGAUCAGUAAAUGUAAAAACAAAAAGGCAAUACGCACCAUAAAAAUAUUUAACAAAUUGAAAAUGUAUCUUGACAUGUAAUACCCCUGUCUGUUAGGUUUAUGUACUCUUGUUUGUAUAUUUCUGUUUUUUGUAUUUGUUGUGUUCAUAAUACAUUAAAACAUUUAAAAAAAAGAGGGUCUCAUAAAUAUCUGCCUUUUCCCCCAAUGCGAUUAUACAGUAGCUCAUCAGGUUUUUCUCCCAUGUACAAAUGUAAUUCCUCUAUCCAUCUUUUCCAGUGACAUCAUGGACCCCACUCCUGAGCCCAAGACCAGAGCGGAGGUUUGAAAGUGUAAGUAAAACACAUUAUAAUCCCGGAACUACCUGAUAAAUCUGUCACGGGGGAUUCUUGCCAGUGGACCUUGGAACCCAACACAGUCAAUGAGCACCUGUAUCUGUCUGAGGGGAACCGGAUGGUUACUGGAAUUGUGUAGACUUUCUUAGUGUCCAACAAGCUUUCUCUGCCCUUAGCCUUGUUCUGAACACCUCCAAAACAAAAGUCAUGUGGUUUGGUAAGAAGAAUGCCCCUCUCCCCACAGAGGUGAUUACUACCGCUGAGGAUUUAGAGCUUGAGGUAGUCACCUCAUACAAGCACUUGGGAGUAUGACUAGACGGUACACUGUCCUUCUCUCAGCACAUAUCAAAGCUGCAGGCUAAAGUUAGAGGAAACCAAGUCUAGAUUUAUCGUAAUCGUUCCUCUUUCACUCCAGCUGCCAAACUAAACCCUGAUUCAGAUGACCAUCCUACCCAUGCUAGAUUACGGAGAUGUAAUUUAUAGAUCGACAGGUAAGGGUGCUCUCAAGCGGCUAGAUGUUGUUUGCCAUUCGGAUUUGCCACCAAUGCUCCUUAUAGGACACAUCACUGCACUUUGUACUCCUCUAUAAACUGGUCAUGUCUGUAUACCC